GUCCUGGGUCCGGCUCUGUUUAUGCUUAUGCUUAUUCUUCUUCUUGGGAGGCUGAAUGUGCAUCAGACGACACUGCUCUGGCAACUGAGGGAACCAAAGGAAGGUCCAGGUAUACAUGUGUACCGUGUGUGUCUGGUGCCUGCAGAAGUCAGAAGUGGGGAUAGGUGCCCUAGAACUGGAGUUAUGGAUGGCUGUGAGCUGCCCAAGGAACUGAACCUGGGUCUUUUACAAGGGCAGCCCGUACUCCUGUUGAGCCAUCUCUCCAGCCCCAUGAAGGACUAUAUUUUAAUACUAAUGAGGAAUCUAUUAAAUAAGAACAUCUUAAUCACUGUUCUAUUGCUGUGAAGAGACAUGACCAUGGCAAAUCUUAAAAUUGUGAGAAAGCACUUAACUGGGGGCUUGCUUACAGUUUCAGAGGCUUAAUUCAUCAUCAUGGCAGCAUGGUACUGGAGGAGUUGAGAGCUACCUAUUGAUCCACAGGCAGAAAGAGAGCCUAGACCUGGCAUGGACUUGUGAAACCUCAAAGCCCACCUCCAGUGACAUACUUCCUUCAACAAGGCCACACCUCCUAAUCCUUCUAAUCUAUUCAAGGAGUUCUACUCCCUGGUGACUAGACAUUCAAAUAUAUGAGUCUAUUCUUAUUCAAACCACCAUAAUUAUAGAAUUCCAGCACUCAAAAGGUUUCAGAUUUUGGAGCAUUCCAUACUUCACACUUCUGGAUUUGGGAUAUGUAACUAGUAAAAUCUAUGCAAAUAUUCUGAAAAAUUGUAAAAUUUGAAACAUUUUAGAUAACAAACACUAAACCUGUGAUAAUAGCCAGGUGUGGUGGUGCAUACCUGUAAGCCAGUAAUGCCAGCACUGAGGAGGCUGAGGCAAGACAGUUGCAUUCCAGGCCAGCUUGGGCUAUAUAGUGAGAUCCUGUCUCAAACACCCCCAACUCAGUAACAUAUAACAAACAUAAAAUAUUAUACUGUGGGCUAGAGAAAUGGAAAAGGAAUGGAGCAGGGUAGAGAUAGAAACUGAAAAAACAAAACAACCCAAAACAAAACCAGACUAACUAGAAUAACUUACAUGACACUGUAUCAAACAGAUAUUGUUCCGCAUUUUAUAAAAUGUCUCAGAAACAUCUCUGCCUGGAUCAGGGUAACAGAACCUUAAAGUUUAGUUACAGCUACACUAAAAGUUACUACUACAAAUUGGAUGCAGUGGCAUGAGGGUCUUGUCAGUGGCCCUCUGCUGGCUGGCUGUGUAUUUUUUUAUUGAGACAGUCUCUUGCUAUGUAGUUCUAGCUGGCCUCAAACUUAUGGCAACUUCCUGCGUUAGCCUCCCCGAGAGUGCUAGUGUUACACGUGAGUGCCACCAUGCUUGGCUUUAUUAUUAUUAUUAUUAUUUUUUAAAGAUUUAUUUAUUUAUUAUGUAUACGGAAGAGGGUGCCAGAUCUCAUUACAGAUGGUUGUCAGCCACCAUGUGGGUGCUGGGAAUUGAACUCAGGACCUCUUGAAGAGCAGUCGGUGCUCUUAACCUCUGAGCCAUCUCUCCAGCCCUAUUAUUUUUUUUUUUAAUAGGAAGAAAGACUAAUCACCACAGGAAAACAGUAGAUUUUUGUGGCUGUGACUACCUUAUGACCAACAUGUUUAUUCUUCAUGGUACCAAGUAUUACCUAGAAAGAACUACUCAAUCAAAAUACAAGCAACUAUAGAGUUCUAAUACUAGCUGUCCUGUCUGCCGCUGUCUCCUUUUAUCUAUGUAAUAGGAUAAUAACUUUGCAUUUCAUUAUUUUUAAGGCUCAUUGAUUAAUUCUGACAACAUACAGAUAAGAUGACUUGUUUAUGAUCAUUUACUUGGGAAAAUUCAGGUUCUGAACUGUGAGUCCUUGAGGGCAGAGAUGGUGUCUUAUUCACAUGACUAGUUAGUGCCCAGGUUAUACACUAAAAUGUUUCUGAAAUAAACAAUCAUUAUUUUUC